GUCAGUGCAGUGUAGUGGUUUCAGUGCUGGACUAGGACUCUGGAGGCUAGGGUUCGAAUCCUUUCAGUCAUG